AUACGGAGGGUGCAAGCGUCAUUCGGAAUCACUGGGCGUAAAGGACACGUAGGCGGGAAGCCAAGUCUGAUGUGAAAUCCUACAGCUUAACUGUAGAACUGCAUUGGAAACUGGUUACCUAGAGUAUGGGAGGGGGAGAUGGAAUUAGUGGUGUAGGGGUAAAAUCCGUAGAUAUCACUAGGAAUACCUAAAGCGAAGGCGAUCUCCUGGAACAUUACUGACGCUAAGGUGUGAAAGCGUGGGGAGCAAACGGGAUUAGAAACCCCAGUAGUCC
rnacentral:rRNA from 1 species